CGAAGGGGGCCUAGAAGAAUUGGAGAAAAAGAUUGACUCUCUAUCGCAUCCAGAAAUGAUGGCUCUCUUCACUUGAAAAACUAGGAAAGAUAAUGGGAGGUACAUUGCUUAUUGGAUUGCCAAAUGAACUAACCUUCGAUGAAGUGAACUCGUAGAGUGCACUGGAACAUGGCCGCGCUAUUGUUGUAAACGUUCGUCAGCACGAUGAACAAGGCACUUUGCCACGGAACUCUGAUGGACUGCAGAGAUGAAAGCCAAAAGAACAAGGCCAGGCUGUUCAAAAGCGGGUUAAGAAAACCCAUGGUAUGCAGACUGGUAUGGUAGAUGAUGAUGGUGGUAUAGUCUUGGAUGACUCACGCCAUAAUACGGACACAAGCAGUUUAUCUUUUGAUGCAGAUGAAACUUCUUUAAAGAUUUAUGAUGGCAACUUAACAGAUUCAAAACUUUGUAAAAAAACCUUUACCAAAGAAAAAGUAUGGGAGUGAUAUGGCAAAACAUGGGCCAUAUAAUGACCCAUAUCUGGGAAUGGUAUGGGAAGACUGGGUGAAGAUAUGGAACUGGUAUGGGGUUCAACAUAUUGAUUCCAAGGACAGCUCAAGCCAGCUUGUGUGUUCUAGAAGAAACCCUGAAAAAAUUUCACAUCACAGAUGAUCCCAGCAAUUAUUACCUUGCGAGAGAUGUUGAUGAAGUUUUUAUCUCUUGCUGUUUAAAGAGAAGGAGCAUGCCCUUGAUCCUGAAGAGAAACCUCAUCAGUUUGUG